CAAAGUUAACAGCUAAAAACGAACAAACAAACAAAUAAUAAUAAAAAAAAGAAAGAUUACUAAUUGACUCUGAAAUAAAUUAUCACAAACUUAAAAAGAAAUACAAUGAGAAAAGUACUUUUUGUAGUUAAAAUAUGCACUAAAAGUAAUGUUCAGUGAAUUUUCUGCUUAAUUCCCAGGUGUACUGUUACAUUUUUAAGCUGGUAUAAAUCUCUCAAGUUCAGUGCAUUCAGCCAUUCAUAGAUUUAAGAGUGUAAGAGACUAUUCUUUUAUAUCAUUGACUCAAAGUUUGCUGAGGAACAAGUCCAGGCAAGUCCUGGGCAAAGGCAGAGAAAUCUUUUGUCUUGAGGACACUGAUGGACAGGUCCUGGCUAAGGAUUGUGAAAUCCUCUAAGGAGCACAGAUGGACAAGGCCAGGGGCAACGAGAGAGAGAUAAGCUGCUGCUAAUGGCUGGGAAACGGUCUUUUUGUGUGGACUUAUCUCGAGGAAGAUGGCCAUCUCAGGAGGUAUGCACAGGACUCUUGCUCAAGCACCCAGGAAUGUCACGUAGGCAGGAGAAAAUGGAGGAUAAAAGAGGGUCCAACAACCACGGCGGUGUGGAGGUUGAUCCUUCACCACAACUGAGAGGCUUAUCUCUCACCACGACAGACUUGAGGGGUUCUCUGCCAUCUGAUCCUUCACCACAACAGUGGAGGCUGAUCUCUCACCGCAACACAGAGGCUGAUCUCUCAUGAUCUCUCACCACGACACGAGCUUCCUGCCUUCAGAUCCUUCUCUAUGGACCGUUUGCUGACGGACUUCCCUGGGCCUGCUACCUGAGACCUGCUGCUUCCUCCCUGACCUGCACCCUCUCAUUGCCAAGACCGGCCUCGCUGCUCCUGCCCUUCGGCCUCGGACCGUCAGAACGUCGUGCAACGGGACUACUGCCGGAUCCUGGUGAUCCCAGUCACCAGCUGAGAGGACAGAGGAGAACACAACUUGCGCUCCCGAUCCCUUCAGAAGUCUUCCCAGAGCCCUGACGUCCCUUCUGAUCACCCAAAGACUUCUUUUGCCUACCUCUUCAUUUCCAAUGUGGAAAACCAGUAACGGAGAAUAAUUGGAGGGCUUAACGAGGUGUCGUUAAUCGGAGGCUUAAUGACAACACACCUCCCUGUGGGAUGGAUCUGAGCAGCAUAUCGGGCCCUCGGUUCCCCUCAGAAGGGAGUUCCCUAUGACGACAAGUUUUUUUGUUUUGUUUUGUUCCCCUCCCCCCCCCCCCUCCGCCCCCAAGUGACAUAGCAAAAUGGGGAGCAGACUGACUAGCCUUGAGCAACC
rnacentral:lncRNA from 1 species